AUGGAGCAUGUUACCUGGAGAUUUAUUAAAAGACUCCAUUUUACACUCCGUUUGACUCUCCUGCGCCUGACUUCCCUGUCACCUAUACAUAUAUAUCUGACACUAUCACAAUCCCUUACUUUCUCUCCUCUCUAUCACCAUCCCUUACUCUCUCUCCUUCUCUCUAUCACCAUCCCGUACUCUCUCUCCUCUCUAUCACAAUCCCUUACUUUCUCUCCUCUCUAUCACCAUCCCUUACUCUCUCUCCUUCUCUCUAUCAUCAUCCCUCACUCUCUCUAUUCCUUCUCUCAAUCAUCAUCCCUCACUCUCUCUCUCCUUCUCUCUAUCACCAUCCCUUACUCUAUCUCCUCUCUAUCACCAUCCCGUACUCUCUCUCCUCUCUAUCACCAUCCCUUACCUUCUCUCCUCUCUAUCACCAUCCCUUACUCUCUCUCUCCUUCUCUCAAUCAUCAUCCCUCACUCUCUCUCUCCUUAUCUCAAUCAUCAUCCCUCACUCUCUCUCUCCUUCUCUCUAUCACCAUCCCUUACUCUCUCUCCUUCUCUCUAUCACCAUCCCUCACUCUCUCUCUCCUUCUCUCUAUCACCAUCCCUUACUCUCUCUCCUUCUCUCUAUCACCAUCCCUUACUUUCUCUCCUCUCUAUCACCAUCCCUUACUUUCUCUCCUCUCUAUCACCAUCCCUUACUCUCUCCUUCUCUCUAUCACCAUCCCUUACUCUCUCACCUCCUCUCUAUCACCAUCCCUUACUUUCUCUCCUCUCUAUCACCAUCCCUUACUCUCUCACCUCCUCUCUAUCACCAUCCCUUACUCUCUCUCCUCUCUAUCACAAUCCCUUACUCUCUCUCCUCUCUAUCACCAUCCCUUACUCUCUCCUCUCUAUCACCAUCCUUUACUCUCUCUCCUCUCUAUCAUCAUCCCUUACUCUCUCUCCUCUCCAUCACCAUCCCUUACUCUCUCUCCUCUCUAUCACCAUCCCUUACUCUCUCUCCUUCUCUCUAUCACCAUCCCUUACUCUCUCUCUCCUCUCUUUCACCAUCCCUUACUCUCUCCUCUCUAUCACCGUCCCUUACUCUCUCUCCUCUCUAUCCCCAUCCCUUACUCUCUCUCCUCUCUAUCACCAUCCCUUACUCUCUCUCCUCUCUAUCACCAUCCCUUACUCUCUCUCCUUCUCUCUAUCACCAUCCCUUACUCUCUCUCCUUCUCUCUAUCACCAUCCCUUACUCUCUCUUCUUCUCUCUAUCACCAUCCCUUACUCUCUCUCCUCUCUAUCACCAUCCCUUACUCUCUCUCCUUCUCUCUAUCACCAUCCCUUACUCUCUCUCCUUCUCUCAAUCACCAUCCCUUACUCUCUCUCCUCUCUAUAACCAUCUCUUACUUUCUCUCCUCUCUAUCACCAUCCCUUACUCUCUCUCCUUCUCUCUAUCACCAUCCCUUACUCUCUCCUUCUCUCUAUCACCAUCCCUUACUCUCUCUCUCCAUCUAA
rnacentral:lncRNA from 1 species